ensembl:lncRNA
AUGGGCUUCGUCUGGAUCGCUCUACAAACAGGAAACAAGAUAAAGAUAUGUCAUCAUAGCCAUGACCCAGCGGCUCGACCGGAGGUCACAGAGCUCUCUGAUAAACCCGUCACCCGUCUGAGUCAUGGCGGUUUGUUGACCCAGACUGAACCAGGGCUGAGAACUGAGUGCAAACCUCCAACUGAAUCAGUGGGAUUCGUCCAGAGGCACGCUGUUUUAUCCGGAGAGAUUGACUCCUCACGAAUAUCCUCAUUCAGUGCGUACACAUGGUGUUCCACUUAACUCGAAACCAGAAGCCGAUAAGAGCCAGAUAAUGGCUGCAUCUUCAAACAAAGAGCAAAGCCGAGAAAGAUACACAAGGAACUGUGCAACAACAAUUAUAGGGCUGUAAAAGUGAAGGCCAAAAAUUGACUGCUGCUUUAUGGCUUUAUUACUAGCUGAAAAUACACAGUAUCCAGAUUCUUCCAGGGAAAAUUCCUAGCUUUAUAAUAUAUGUUUAAAUAAUUAGGCAGUUAUAUUCUAUAAGCUGGAAAAUAAUAAACAAGUGGCAUUAUUGGUUUAGUUUGCUAAGCUAAGCAGAACUUUCAGCUACUAAUGCUCUUACUGUGGGUUACAGAUUUGCAAGGAUGGAAAUGCCAGCGGCCACAAAAUGAAACACAACGCCGUUUCCGUCUUCAGCUGCGACAGACAAAUUGCUUGUCACUGAAAUCUUGUCGCAUAGUGUCUGGUUAGGACAUGGUGUCAUUUUUCAGUUCUAAAUAAAUCAUAGUACUAUUUUACCUUUUAUUUGCAUUAUUCUGAAUGUUAGAAAGAGUCAUAGACGACUAGUUUAGGAAGUUCUUUGCUGUAAUAUUAAUAUAAUAUCAAUGACUGCAUUCAGACACCUGAACAGACAAAUAAUUGUGUUUCUAGGAUUCAACUUCAGUCAAACUUUAGUUUGGGGACCAAUUCUCACUAUUAAUUAUGAUUAGGGAUGUAGAAUGUGGUCAUGCAGAAUAUGUCCUUCAUACUAUGUUAAUAUAACAAUAUGUUAAUAUUGGGCAUGCUAAUAAGCAACUGGUUAAUAGUGAGAAUUGCUCCCUAAACUAAAGUGUUACCUCAACUUCUAGUCUAUUAACAACUAAUGCUCGAUCUGAAAUGCACAGGGGUUCAAAUAAUGUGCGCAGAUGCCGAUUUAUUACAUACGUGGCUUAUUUUCCUGAGUUUGUUUAUUGUAGGUGUACUAAAAAGUUAAUUUGUGAAGUAAUUACUUGAGCAGUUUGUCGGAAAAUGACUUACAUUCUUGCACGUCACAUUAUUUCUCCUACCUGGUCUCAUGGCAAAAACGUACCUGGGGACAGUUUUGCGUGAGACAGGAAAUACGUACCAAUAAGUACACAUCACUGCAGUUUCCAAAAGAAAUGAACACUAGAGGCAGUAAAACUCUGACACCUUUUAUUCCUUUUCACACAAAUUUACAGUUUCGAUUAAUAAAGCGUAAUUUUUGCACAAUUAAGAAGAAUAUUAGGUCAUGACUUCAAAACGAUUUUAAUAUGCUGGGAGAUUUGAAAACUGAUGCUUUUGAAUGUUAGCAUCGCACAUAUCCAGCUUCAUAUCUAUAGGUUUUCAUAGACGGUAGGUUUGUUCGGUAGCUCACGGAGUACGGAGAUGUACUUGAGAGGCGAGGAGCUCCGGUUUGAAUCCCGCGUAACCACGGUUUGACAAAAGAAAUGCAUUUUUAUAUCAGUUUUGCAUUUGUCAACACUAUCAGGUAGGUUUAGGGUUGGGUUUGGUGUAGGGCAUAUUUCCAACACGAGAGAGCAUUAACUUUUAGCGAUGCAAUACAUACCUGAAGCAACGUAAUAAAAACACAGCAAUACUGUACGUAUAUAUCUACGUAAUAAAAACGUGGCAGUGUUCACGUAUUGAACCCGUGUUUUAGCACCACUCAGUGGACAUUUCUCUUUGAAACUGUGGCGAAACGUGCAGUAGGGUAGGUAAAAACUGUGUUGCAGAAAGGUACCCAGAGGUACGUAUUUUUAUGAGACCAGGUUGUAUUUCUCAGUAGCUCUAUUGAAUUAUCUUGAAGAAUCUGCUAUUUUGCCAGCUGUGGUAGGGGCUGUCAGGGAAGUGUGAAGAAACAUUGUGGGAUCAUUUGAGUGGUGCCUUCUGAAGGUGUCAGGCCCAUGAUAAGUCUUGUUCAAACGUCAGCCUCUCCAAAAUGCUAUGUGUCAACAAUCAGCCCGUGUGGCUG